rnacentral:rRNA from 1 species
AACGAACGCUGGCGGCAUGCCUAACACAUGCAAGUCGAACGAGACCUUCGGGUCUAGUGGCGCACGGGUGCGUAACGCGUGGGAACCUGCCCUUAGGUUCGGAAUAACUCCCCGAAAGGGGUGCUAAUACCGGAUAAUGUCUUCGGCCCAAAGAUUUAUCGCCUUUGGAUGGUCCCGCGUUGGAUUAGCUAGUUGGUAGGGUAAAAGCCUACCAAGGCGACGAUCCAUAGCUGGUCUGAGAGGAUGAUCAGCCACACUGGGACUGAGACACGGCCCAGACUCCUACGGGAGGCAGCAGUGGGGAAUAUUGGACAAUGGGCGAAAGCCUGAUCCAGCAAUGCCGCGUGAGUGAUGAAGGCCUUAGGGUUGUAAAGCUCUUUUACCCGGGAUGAUAAUGACAGUACCGGGAGAAUAAGCUCCGGCUAACUCCGUG